UUCAAACCACAACAAACCCACAGCAGCGUGUUCCUCUGAAUGUUUUUGCAUAAUUCCUGCUGCUGACCAUUCCUUCCCUCAUCAACACGUUGUUUCCGUGUUCCAUGCAGAACACGCAGCCGUGUCCACUGCAACACGCAUGCGCUGCCCGGCUCUGAUCCUCAUUUGGAAACCAGCAGCGUGAGGAGCAGCGUCCAGCUUCUCCCACUGUCAGGAACGUCGUGGUUCUCCAAGGAGAAGUUCUCUCUGCUGGGAAUCCCCGAGCAACGGAGCUGAGAGAAGCAGCAGAUGUUUUUCCACUUUGAGGACCGGAUUGGACCCUCUGGAGGACCACUUUUGGACCACGGGCCUCAUGUUGGACCCUCUGGUUUAAAGUGUGGUGAACACACACACACGGACACACACAGACACACAUACAGUAACACUUCCAUCUGUUUUCAGGGUUUUUUCUGCCUCUCCACUCGACACCCCCACAGCUUCUUAUCUCUGUGCACGGCUGUUCUACCUCCACCUCACCGACACACAACAACAACACAACACCACACACUGACACACACUAAUAACACACUGACACACACUCCUCUGUGGGCUGAUCCUCCUGCUCUGUGCGUCUCUGAUACGUGAACUUUGUGGGUUUUUUGUUGCUCCACUUUCAGGUUUUUGUGCGUCGCUCUCCUGUUGUUUGUGAAUAAACCGAUUUCAGACUCUGUUGUUGUUUUUAUUUAUGACUUCUGAUCAUAAAGUUCCAUAUUUAUAAUCAAAGAUGCACAUUAAUGAUGAACCUGUUUUGUCAUUUCUGUAUUUUUCUUGUCAUUAUCUGUGAUAAUAAUCUGUCGUUUUUACGUACAUUAAUGUCCCAUUUUCAGAAAAAUGAAGAAUAAAAUAAAAAAUGGUUUUAACUGGAA